rnacentral:rRNA from 1 species
CAUGCAAGUCGAGCGGUAACAGAUCCAGCUUGCUGGAUGCUGACGAGCGGCGGACGGGUGAGUAAUGCAUAGGAAUCUGCCCGAUAGUGGGGGAUAACCUGGGGAAACCCAGGCUAAUACCGCAUACGUCCUACGGGAGAAAGGGGGCUCCGGCUCCCGCUAUGGGAUGAGCCUAUGUCGGAUUAGCUAGUUGGUGAGGUAACGGCUCACCAAGGCCACGAUCCGUAGCUGGUCUGAGAGGAUGAUCAGCCACAUCGGGACUGAGACACGGCCCGAACUCCUACGGGAGGCAGCAGUGGGGAAUAUUGGACAAUGGGGGAAACCCUGAUCCAGCCAUGCCGCGUGUGUGAAGAAGGCCCUCGGGUUGUAAAGCACUUUCAGCGAGGAAGAACGCCUAGCGGUUAAUACCCGCUAGGAAAGACAUCACUCGCAGAAGAAGCACCGGCUAACUCCGUGCCAGCAGCCGCGGUAAUACGGAGGGUGCAAGCGUUAAUCGGAAUUACUGGGCGUAAAGCGCGCGUAGGUGGCUUGAUAAGCCGGUUGUGAAAGCCCCGGGCUCAACCUGGGAACGGCAUCCGGAACUGUCAAGCUAGAGUGCAGGAGAGGAAGGUAGAAUUCCCGGUGUAGCGGUGAAAUGCGUAGAGAUCGGGAGGAAUACCAGUGGCGAAGGCGGCCUUCUGGACUGACACUGACACUGAGGUGCGAAAGCGUGGGUAGCAAACAGGAUUAGAUACCCUGGUAGUCCACGCCGUAAACGAUGUCGACCAGCCGUUGGGUGCCUAGCGCACUUUGUGGCGAAGUUAACGCGAUAAGUCGACCGCCUGGGGAGUACGGCCGCAAGGUUAAAACUCAAAUGAAUUGACGGGGGCCCGCACAAGCGGUGGAGCAUGUGGUUUAAUUCGAUGCAACGCGAAGAACCUUACCUACUCUUGACAUCCUGCGAAUUUGGUAGAGAUACCUUAGUGCCUUCGGGAACGCAGAGACAGGUGCUGCAUGGCU